AUCUAGCUGACGAGUUUCUAAUAGGACGAAACACUUGUCUUGGAC
rnacentral:hammerhead_ribozyme from 1 species